rnacentral:tRNA from 1 species
AGGGAUGUAGUUAAAUGGUAUAACUAUGGUCUCCAAAACCAUUGUCGUGGGUUCGAUUCCUACCAUCCCUGCCA